UUGACCUCAAAUGCCAC
rnacentral:rRNA from 1 species